rnacentral:tRNA from 1 species
GGUUAUAGCUUAGAGGUAGAGUGCUUGCCUAGCACAUGUGAGGCACUGGGUUCAAUCCUCAGUGCCA